UCAAGAAACUUCCACAAUGGGCGAAAGCCUGAUGGAGCGACGUCGCGUGAUGGACGAAGUGCUUCGGCACGUAAACAUCUUUUAUGUGGGAUGAAAUUAUUGACAGUACCACAUGAAUAAGGGGCUCCUAACUCUGUGCCAGCAGGAGCGGUAAUACAGAGGCCCCAAGCGUUAUCCGGAAUCACUGGGCGUAAAGGGUGUCGAGGCGGUUGUAUUAGUCGUUCGUAAAAUCUACGAGCUUAACUUGUAGGCGGCGAACGAAACGGUACGACUUGAGGUUUGGAGAGGUGCGUGGAACUCACGGUGUAGGGGUGAAAUCCGUUGAUAUCGUGGGGAACACCAAAGGCGAAGGCAGCGCACUGGCCAAAAUCUGACGCUCACACACGAAAGCUAGGGUAGCGAAGAGGGUUAGAUACCCCAGUAGUCCCUGAGCGGGCUGGCAAGGCGCAU
rnacentral:rRNA from 1 species